UGGCGUGUUUCUACGGUGUAUGUCACUACUGCAAAACUACGAAACCUGUUUGUGCGACGAAUGGAAUCUUGGAGGGAGUCGUUAUAUUAUGGUUUCCGGAUCACCUUCCUCUCGUUAAAUUGCUCCACCCUUGGAGGUCCGCAUAUAGGUGGGAAACAGACGCGAAUUACUGUGAAAAAUUCAUGAAGGGAGAACAGUCUUCGAAUAUCUUAGACUUCAUGGACGAGUCCAUGUUUGACUUCCUCAUCCAAAGCGACAUUAGAUACCAUGCAGUGUAUGUCCAGGAUGCGCCCAAUUCUUCACUUGUACCCAUGGACAAUGGUAAAAGCCUUGGCGAUCCUAGAGUCGACCGCAUGGAUCUUCUUGCGCCGUUACUA